AUUUCGAUGGAGAUCUGGAACUCUUCGUUUAUUAGUCGGAUCUUCAUUAAUAUCAUGAGAAAUCUG
rnacentral:sRNA from 1 species